rnacentral:rRNA from 1 species
UCAACUGAUUUUCUGCAUCAACAUACUUAUCGCCAUUACGUGCGUUUUAUCGCAAGAGCCUAGAAUCAGAGCUCGUGUGAAAGUUUUGAUUUCAUUUUGUUUUGCUGUGCACCAGAAGAAGAAAUUUCCCCCCGCUGCAUAAUGCAAGAGAGUUGUGGUCCCUGCGGCGCUUGGUUCCGCGCCCGCCGCGGGUCCGCGCCGGGCGUUUCCCGCCAGCACACUGAGGUAAGGUUCACCGUGGGUUUGGGAGUUGUAUAACUUUUCCGUAGGGUUGACCUGCGGAGGGAUCAUUACCAGAGUUUAUACAACUCCCAAACCCACUGUGAACCUUACCUCAGUUGCCUCGGCGGGAACGCCCCGGCUGCCGGCCCCCGCGCCGGCGCCGGACCCAGGCGCCCGCCGCAGGGACCCCAAACUCUCUUGCAUUACGCCCAGCGGGCGGAAUUUCUUCUCUGAGUUGCACAAGCAAAAACAAAUGAAUCAAAACUUUCAACAACGGAUCUCUUGGUUCUGGCAUCGAUGAAGAACGCAGCGAAAUGCGAUAAGUAAUGUGAAUUGCAGAAUUCAGUGAAUCAUCGAAUCUUUGAACGCACAUUGCGCCCGCCAGCAUUCUGGCGGGCAUGCCUGUUCGAGCGUCAUUUCAACCCUCGAGCCCCCCCGGGGGCCUCGGUGUUGGGGGACGGUUCGCACCGAGCCGCUCUCGACAAUGCAUUUGGCUACCCAAAACGAGUGAUUCAUGCUUACUUCCUGCGCCUGGUAGCAAAAACACUACCUCGCUCCGGAGCGCUAGGCGGUCACUCUCCAAAUUUAUAAACGCCCAACAUAUUCUUAGAGUUGACCUCGGAUCAGGUAGAAAACCCCGAA